UCCUUUGUGUCCUUGCCGGUUUGUGCCC
rnacentral:sRNA from 1 species